CGUAGGUGGCAAGCGUUGUCCGGAUUUAUUGGGCGUAAAGGGAGCGCAGGUGGUUUCUUAAGUCUGAUGUGAAAGCCCACGGCUUAACCGUGGAGGGUCAUUGGAAACUGGGAAACUUGAGUACAGAAGAGGAAUGUGGAACUCCAUGUGUAGCGGUGGAAUGCGUAGAUAUAUGGAAGAACACCAGUGGCGAAGGCGACAUUCUGGUCUGUUACUGACACUGAGGCUCGAAAGCGUGGGGGAGCAAACAGGAUU
rnacentral:rRNA from 1 species